UGUGCUUUAGAUUUUCUUUGUAAGAAUGUU
rnacentral:piRNA from 1 species